GAUGAACGCUGGCGGCGUGCCUAAUACAUGCAAGUCGAGCGAACAGACGCGGAGCUUGCUCCUCUGACGUUAGCGGCGGGCGGGUGAGUAACACGUGGAUCACCUCCCUAUAAGACUGGUAUCACUUCGGGAAACCGGAGCUAAUACCGGAUAAUAUAUUGAACCGCAUGGUUCAAUAGUGAAAGUCGGUUUUGCUGUCACUUAUAGAUGGAUCCGCGCCGCAUUAGCUGGUUGGUAAGGUCACGGCUUACAACGGCAACGAUGCGUAGGCGACGUGAGAGGGGGAUCGGCCACACUGGAACUGGGCCACGGACCAGACGCCUACGGUAGGCAGCAGUCGGGAACCUUCCGCAAUGGGCGAAAGCAUGACGGAGCAACGCCGAGUGAGUGAUGAAGGUCUUCGGAGCGUAAUACCCUGUUAUUAGGUAAGAACAAAUUUGUCAGUAAAUAUGCACGUCUUGACGGUACCUAAUCAGAAAGCCACGGCUAACUACGUG
rnacentral:rRNA from 1 species